UUGAUCACUGAUGCUUCAGUAAGUUCUCCAAUUUCAAGGGAGAAGUCUCAAGAUUUGGACCCCAAUAUGCGAGACGAAGUUAUCUAUUCAUCUCCAAAUUUUGAUCCCAAAGUUUUCCUUUCGUGGGUCCACAAAGACACGAGCGCUGCUGACUUAGAGGCUGGUGCUCUCACCUUGAAAACUGAUCCCAAAGGGAGAACACAGCAGAAAAAACUAUUAGUCAAGGAGAACUUCGAUUGUUUUGUCUCGUGCAAAACUACAAUAGAUGGUAUUUGUGUAGUUGUUAGAUACAUCCAUAUUGCAAAUAAAUGUUCAUGAUCCUGAGUUUAUGGACAAUGUUUUGCAUCCCCGUGUAAAACAAUUUUUUUUCUGACAUUGAUUCGAAAUUGAGACAGAUAGAGGAAGAUCCUGAAGGUGUAGGUACUGCUCACUUGUAUUCAGUGACACUAAAAAUUAGUGGUGUGGCAAAUCGUGCAUUUGAGCCUCUAUUUGAGAGGCAGGCCCAAGCUGAAAAGAUCAGAUCUGUUCAGGGAAUGCUUCAAAGAUUCCGAACACUAUUUAACCUACCAAGUGCAAUCCGUGGGAACAUUAGAAAAGGAGAAUAUGAUCUUGCUGUCAGAGAGUACCAAAAAGCAAAGUCAAUUGUUUUUCCUUCUCAUGUAUGGCAACUUCCUGUUUUAUAGAGAUUGAGCGCCCUU